rnacentral:rRNA from 1 species
UACGGAGGGUGCAAGCGUUGUUCGGAAUUAUUGGGCGUAAAGGGCGUGUAGGCGGUUCGUUAAGUCUGAUGUGAAAGCCCCGGGCUCAACCUGGGAAGUGCAUUGGAAACUGGCGAACUUGAGUACGGGAGAGGGCAGUGGAAUUCCUGGUGUAGCGGUGAAAUGCGCAGAUAUCAGGAAGAACACCUAUGGCGAAGGCAGCUCUCUGGGACGGUACUGACGCUGAGACGCGAAAGCGUGGGGAGCGAACAGG